GACGAACGCUGGCGGCGUGCUUAACACAUGCAAGUCGAACGGAAAGGCCCUGCUUUUGUGGGGUGCUCGAGUGGCGAACGGGUGAGUAACACGUGAGUAACCUGCCCUUGACUUUGGGAUAACUUCAGGAAACUGGGGCAAUUACGGGAUAGGAGUUCUGGCGCCAGGGGGGGGGUGGGAAAGUUUCGGCGGUUGGGGAUGGACUCGCGGCUUAUCAGCUUGUUGGUGGGGUAGUGGCUUACCAAGGCUUUGACGGGUAGCCGGCCUGAGAGGGUGACCGGCCACAUUGGGACUGAGAUACGGCCCAGACUCCUACGGGAGGCAGCAGUGGGGAAUAUUGCACAAUGGGCGGAAGCCUGAUGCAGCAACGCCGCGUGCGGGAUGACGGCCUUCGGGUUGUAAACCGCUUUCGCCUGUGACGAAGCGUGAGUGACGGUAAUGGGUAAAGAAGCACCGGCUAACUACGUG
rnacentral:rRNA from 1 species